rnacentral:misc_RNA from 1 species
GAAAUGCGAUAAGUAAUGUGAAUUGCAGAAUUCAGUGAAUCAUCGAAUCUUUGAACGCACAUUGCGCCCGCCAGCACUCUGGCGGGCAUGCCUGUUCGAGCGUCAUUUCAACCCUCAGAACCCCUUGCGGGAUCUGGCGUUGGGGAUUGGCAUCCAGCCAGCCCCGAAAUCUAGUGGCGGUCCCUCCGCGACCUCCCCUGCGCAGUAGCGAUACCUCGCAGCGGGACAGCGGUCUGACCACGCCGAAAACCCCCAACUUCUCAAGGUUGACCUCGAAUCAGGUAGGAAUACCCGCUGAACUUAAGC